AUUUCAGAUCUACGGUUUGGUUGUGGGUGGAAGAUGAUGAAGAUAUCAUAGAUCUACCGUUUGGUGGCCAGAUUGAUCUGUGUUGGAGGUUAAAGAAUGGGUUCAAGCUCAGUUGGGUUGGAUUGAAGAAGAAACCAGACGUUUAGCUUCCAUUCAAGAGGUAUCCGGUGCCGCAGCGGGCGGAAAGUUAUGGAUGCAGUGAAGAGUAUUUUGGAUGGUGGAUUAGAGAGAGGAAAAUGGGUGUUUGAAUCAAUUAUGAAAUUGAAAAGCUCUGUUUGCCACAAAGGCUGCGUAUUGCUUGUCAGCUGUUUCUACCGUGUUGCUUGGUUUCAGGCGUUAUUGUGCAGAAUGAAGUAAACCUGUUGGGAUCUGCGGAAUUCUUUAUGAAGGAAUCAAAGUUUUUAAUACACGGAAGCGGUAAAGACAAUCCCUAGGCGGUACCUCACCGCCGACUAGCGCCUAGCGCCUUCUACAACAUUGAAUCCUCCAACGGGAUUCGUGUUUGAAAAGCAACAAAUGCGAGGAUUAUAUUUCAAUCAAUCUCCCGCAAAGGAGGAACAACGAUUCAAUGAUUGCAACUGUUGAAUCAACAAAACUAGAUUAUGAAUGGAGGAACGACUGAACAAAACAUGUUGGAGCUGAUUCAUUCGCCUUGGCGAAGGGAUCCAGUUUGUGAGGUGCGGUGUCUUGGCGUUCCGACUGUCGACAUGCGAACCCUCUGUCGCGUUCUACAAGUUUGUUCAGACAAUUUUGAUUCAUCACUUAGGUUCAGUAAGUAGAUUAAGUUAACUGUUUAAGUGAAGCAUUUAUGGUUAAUGUUAGUUGAAAUGAAAGGAGAAAACUGGUGGUAAGAUUCUUCUUAGGACUGGUGGUGUGUUGUAUCUUUUUCGGGGUAAACAUUAUGAUCCGCACAACAGGCCGAAAUACCAUGUGAUUCUGUGGAAGCCUGCAACUCCGGUUUACCCAAAGCUUAUACAAGAACCGGAAGGGUUGACAAAAGAAGAAGCUGAUGAGUUGAGAAUGAAAGGGAAAAAACUUCCCCCGAUUUGUAAACUAGGUAAGAACGGUUGGAGAGUAGAAAUGUCUCACAACUGUUGAGGAUCCGGAGGUGGCGGAGGGCGCUUGGAGGUCGUGGUCGCUCUGGUGGUUCUGAUUUGAAAUGCUACCAGUGUGGUGACGUUGGCCAGUUUGCUCGUGAGUGCCGUGGUGGCGGUGGUGAUAGACGCCGCCGCCGCGGCCGUAGCCCAGUCAACAGGUACCGACGGAGUCCUAGCUACGGUCAGAGAUCCUACAUCAAGCUUUACGAUUCUCCACCAAAAUCAUCAACCGAAGAAGACGAUGAGCUAGCAAAAUUUCCUGCUUCUCGGAAGAAGAAAUUGAGGUUGAAAUUCUGACUGUGAUGCCUAGCAAGUCAUUUUUUAUUCAGAUGGGAUCUGCAAAUUAUUAAUUUGACAUGCUCAAAUUGGAGGCAGGAUAGUGGUGGAGAAGACGAAAGGAAAGAAGGCAGAGGUGGUGACGAAAGAGUACAACAUUAAUCUUGACAAACGGCUGCCUGGAUGGUAUAUUGUUUAUAGUGGUUGAUUAAAAUUUUCGAGUUCUGUGUUGGAUUUUUGAUAUUCUGAUGGCUUGAUUCACUCUUUUUGAUGUUCGAUUGCGUCUAAAGUUGUGAAAAUUUUAAUCGCAGUUGCGAUUCUGUUAAAAUGUAGUUAUGUCUACUUGAUGUGUGGAUCAAUUGUACACAAUUUGUAGGGUUUUAAUUUGUUUAUUGGUUAUUGCUGAUGCUUUAUUAAUUUGGAUGCCAA